GUGUUAGUUUUGGCAGCACAUAAACUAAAAUUGGAACAAUACAGAGAAGAGUAGAGUGACUCCUGCAUAAGGAUGGCACACAAAUUUGGGGCGUUCCACAUUCUG